rnacentral:lncRNA from 1 species
GCGCCGGCGCCAAGAUGGCGGCGCUGACGGGUGCCUGGCUGCCGCGCCGAGGGCCGUGGAAGCCGGAGCGGAGCCACAGAGGCUGAGGCCCCAGAACCUCGCUCGAGGCCGCGCCCGCUCCGGCCUCGGGGGAAGCCUGGGCCGGCCGGACAUGGUGCGGGGUGCGCUGUGCUGCUGCCGCUGCUGAGCUCGCAGGCCAGCCCGGCUCGCACGUCCAGCAGGAACAUGUUCUCCGCGUUGAAGAAGCUGGUGGGGUCGGAGCAGGCCCCAGGCCGGGACAAGAACAUCCCCGCCGGGCUGCAGUCCAUGAACCAGGCGCUGCAGAGGCGCUUCGCUAAGGGGGUUCAGUAUAACAGUGAGUGCGGGCCGCGCCGUCGGGCAGGCCGGGGCGGCUGGCAGGGCCCGGGGCGGCCACCCAGCCUACUAGGGUCUGGAAGAAUCAGAGGGUAGGGGCGGACGGGUCCCUGGGUUCUGAGUAGUGGUCGUUCCUUGAGGGACAUCACCUGACAGGAGACCUCCAGAGAACAGCUGUGCGGCGACACUAGCGGAGCAGCGGUGGAGGACCCUGAUUGGCGCGGGUACCCUGCGGAGAGAGACCAUUACAUAACCCGAGGGUGCGCGCGCGGGGCUGCGUGUGCCUGCCUCCUCUCCGCCCCCCGCGCCUGCUCUCACUUGAGGCUCCUGAAAGUCGGAGGCUCCUGAAAGUCGGUCGCCUGUGGGCCUUGAGCCUUGAUUUUGUUUUUUUGUUUUUUGUUUUGUAAGGGAUAUGCUUUUUUUUUUUUUUUAAUUUCAAGAGGCUCUUAACUCUGCAUCCCUGACCCCACAAGAAGAAAAGUCCGCUCUGCCCUUCGUUAUAAAUUAUGUAUGUUGUGCAGCGAGAAGCACACGGUUCUCUUGACCUCUUUAGAGUUUUUCCAUUUGCAGGUUGAACAAUCAAAAGAUUCUUGGGCAAUGUCGUGGUCUGAUAUUGUUUACUUCUAAACUAUUUCUAUACUGCAACAUUUUUGAAGCGCGUGCGCGCACACAUACAUGCACUGGCACAUACACACAGUUCACUGUAAGCUGUGCCUCACAGGGUCAGUGAUAUUUAGGUAAUAAUGUAACAUUAUGAAACUUACUAGGAGGAUUUUUUGUGCAAAUUUAGAAGCAAACAGUGUAUGUGUGUUAACUUGGAAGUUUGUAUUUCUCUUGACUGAGGAAGAGAAUUGAGUCAAAUAUUCAGUGGUUUGUGUUCUUUGGAAUCUAUGUUUGGAUUCUUUCGUUAUUUUUAUAUAGUAUUAAUUUGCAGCCCAAUUCUAGAAAUUAGGCCUGAACUAGGAGCUUCUUGCUUUCUAAACUUACUACCCACUGGACCCACGCCCUGGGGUUCUAAAGAGGAGGGGUCUAGAAGAGCUGAAGUCUUCCAUAUUUUCCAAGAUGCCUUACUUAAAGGAACAAACCUGCAAUAUAAUAAAUACAGAUUCGGGAUUCUUGUAAGAGUCUCCACAUUUUGAAUUGUCUGUUGCAGAAUGCUGUCUGGGUGGCUCGGGAAGGCAGCACAACAAUCUUUUGCAAUAUGUCAGGAGAAUGAAUAACUGAGGCAGGGAAAGCUGGACGAGCCUUUAAUCCCAUCACUUGGGAAGCAGGGGCAGCUGGGUCCUUUUUGGACCCUAAUGGAAUCCAGGACAGCAUGGGCUACAUAGUGAGACCCUGUUUCAAAAAAGCAAUGGAAAAAAGAACAAACUCAAAGAAAACCAGAAUUUUAACAACCAUAGAUCACUGGGAGUGGUCUGAAUUUCAGAAGCAAAAAGAGGGAACUAUGCCACCAGAGUAAAGAGAGUAUACUAAAGAGCAGCACUGAGCUGAUGACCUGGCCCUGCGCAGGCCAGAAUGCGCUGUGCUCAUGGUCAGUGUGGGAUGGACAGCUGGCUGAGCAGAGGAUCUCACAGAAACAGUCACUGCAGGGUGUUCUGUAGAUAAGUGGAGCUUAAGCUGCAAAGGUAGACGUGGGAGUUACAAAGCAAAGGUAAGCAAAGGAAUAGGUCCGAGUGCAGUAAGCCCUGAGUAAGCACUUGUUGUCAGUCACUGGUGAUAAUGUUUUCAUAAUAGACUGGGGGACUGGGUUGGAUUGGGUUGGUUUGGUUUUUAAACAAUACUGAAAAAGUUGGAGUCAGCCCCUACCCCAGAAUGGAGCUGAUCAGAGUUAAGACAUUAGACUAGGGAGGAGGGAGGCAUCACUCUAUGUAACUCUGGCAGUUCUGGAACUCACGUUGUAGACCAGAGUGGCCUUGAACUCAUAGAGACCUGCCUGCCUUUGCUUCCCAAGUGCUACAAUUAAAGGGGUGCACCACUGUAGCUGGCAUACAUUCAGAAAUGUGUUGACUUUAUUAUCACAGUAAGUGUGGAUGUUAAAGUGUACAUUACAACUUUUCCAAUUAUAUACCAGGCAAAUUGUGGGAAAGUUUGCCUAACUUAGUAAAAGGCAAAGAUGGCUGGGAGGAAACUAUAAUAGUAACUUUUUAAAAAAGAUUUAUUUAUUUUAUGUAUGUGAGUGCACUGUAGCUGUACAGAUGGUUGUUAGCCUUCAUCUGGUUGUUGGAAAUUGAACUUUACAACCUCUGCUCGCUUCGGUCAGCCCUACCCAACUCCACUUGCUCAGUCUCUGCUUGCUCCACCCCCAAGAUUUAUUUAUUAUUUAUUAUUAUACAUAGGUACAAUGUAGUUGACUUCAGAAGAGGGCAUCAGAUCUCAUUACAGGUGAUUGUGAGCCACCAUGUGGUUGCUAAGAUUUGAACUCAGGACCUUUGGAAGAACAGUCAGUGCUCUUACCUGCUGAGCCAUCUUGCCAGCCCUAGUAACUUAAAAUACCAUUUUGAAAAAUUUAUUUCUUGGGAGGGCAUUUAUGCCUUGAUGCAUGCAUGGCAAAAGACAGCUUUUUGGUUUUCUCCUAUGUGCCUCCUGGGCAUUAAACUACAGUUGUUGGGCUUGGUGGCAAGAACCUUUACCUGCUGAGCCGUGGUCAAUCUCUUUUUCUCUCUCUCCUCUUAUUGGAGAUUGAACCUAGGUUCUUGUUAAACAAGUGCACUACUGCUGAGCUACAUCCCCAGCUCCUAAACAUUAUUAAAUGAAGUGGUAAGAAAAAUUCCAUUUCGCCAGUCAGUGGUGGCACAUGCCUUUAAUCUGUGCACUUGGGAGGCAGAGGCAGGUGGAUUUCUGAGUUCGAGGCCAGCCUGGUCUACAGAGUGAGUUCCAGGACAGCCAGGGCUAUACAGAGAAACCCUGUCUCGAAAAACCAAAAGGAAAAAAAAAAAGAAAAAUUCCAUUUCUAUUAGCAGACACAAUGCAUUCAAGAAAUUAGAAGA